rnacentral:rRNA from 1 species
AUUGAACGCCGGCGGCAGGCCUAACACAUGCAAGUCGAACGAGUGGCGGACGGGUGAGUAAUGUCUGGGAAACUGACUGAUGGAGGGGGAUAACUACUGGCAACGGUAGCUAAUACCGCAUACCAUCGGAUGUGCCCAGAUGGGAUCAGCUAGUAGGUGGGGUAAAGGAUCACCAAGGCGACGAUCCCUAGCUGGUCUGAGAGGAUGACCAGGCACACUGGAACUGAUACACGGGCCAGACUCCUACGGGAGGCAGCAGUGGGGAAUAUUGCACAUUGGGCGCAAGCCUGAUGCAGCCCUGCCGCGUGUAUGAAGAAGACCUUCGGGUUGUACAGUACUUUCAGCGGGGAGGCGUUACCCGCAGGAGACGCACCGGCUAACUCCGUGCCAGCAGCCGCAGUGAUUC